UACGUAGGUGGCAAGCGUUGUCCGGAUUUAUUGGGUUUAAAGGGUGCGUAGGCGGCCCCUGUAAGUCAGUGCUGAAAUAUCCCAGCUUAACUGGGAGGGUGGCAUUGAUACUGCGGGGCUAGAGUACAGAUGAGGUAGGCGGGAUUGACGGUGUAGCGGCGAAAUGCUUAGAUAUCGUCAAGAACACCUAUAGCGAAGGCAGCUUACUAGGCUGUAACUGACGCUGAGGCACGAAAGUGUGGGGAUCAAACAGG
rnacentral:rRNA from 1 species